UCGUAACAAGGUUUCCGUAGGUGAACCUGCGGAAGGAUCAUUACCGAGUGUAGGGUUCCUAGCGAGCCCAACCUCCCACCCGUGUUUACUGUAACCUUAGUUGCUUCGGCGGGCCCGCCUUUAAGGCCGCCGGGGGGCAUCAGCCCCCGGGCCCGCGCCCGCCGGAGACACCACGAACUCUGUCUGAUCUAGUGAAGUCUGAGUUGAUUGUAUCGCAAUCAGUUAAAACUUUCAACAAUGGAUCUCUUGGUUCCGGCAUCGAUGAAGAACGCAGCGAAAUGCGAUAACUAGUGUGAAUUGCAGAAUUCCGUGAAUCAUCGAGUCUUUGAACGCACAUUGCGCCCCCUGGUAUUCCGGGGGGCAUGCCUGUCCGAGCGUCAUUGCUGCCCAUCAAGCACGGCUUGUGUGUUGGGUCGUCGUCCCCUCUUCGGGGGGGACGGGCCCCAAAGGCAGCGGCGGCACCGCGUCCGAUCCUCGAGCGUAUGGGGCUUUGUCACCCGCUCUGUAGGCCCGGCCGGCGCUUGCCGAACGCAAAACAACCAUUCUUUCCAGGUUGACCUCGGAUCAGGUAGGGAUACCCGCUGAACCUAA
rnacentral:misc_RNA from 1 species